rnacentral:hammerhead_ribozyme from 1 species
CACUGCUGAGGAGUCCUACAAUAGGACGAGACGGCCGUCUAGGGC